CCGACCUACUUCUUCGCCCGACCCCACUUGGGCCGACCUCCAUAUCAACCGCCCCCUGUCUUUGAUCAAAGGCCUCCGUGUUUGUCCGACUCCUCCUUCUAUCCGACCUACGGGUUACCCGACCUGCGGAUAUCCCAUCUCAACGACUUUCCGUCUCGAGGACCUCCCGACUUGAAAACCUUCCGACUUGAGGUCUUUCCGUCUUGCGGAUCUCCCGACCUGAAGACCGUCCGACUUGAGGUCUUUCAUCUUGAGGGCCUCCCGACCUGAAGACCUUCCGACUUGAGGUCUUUCCGUCUUGCGGAUCUCCCGACCUGAAGACCGUCCGACUUGAGGUCUUUCAUCUUGAGGGCCUCCCGACCUGAAGACCUUCCGACUUGAGGUCUUUCCGUCUUG